rnacentral:rRNA from 1 species
UACGUAGGUGGCAAGCGUUGUCCGGAUUUACUGGGCGUAAAGAGCGCGCAGGCGGUCGUUCAAGUCGCGUGUGAAAGCCCCCGGCUCAACUGGGGAGGGUCACGCGAUACUGAUCGACUCGAAGGCAGGAGAGGGUAGUGGAAUUCCCGGUGUAGUGGUGAAAUGCGUAGAUAUCGGGAAGAACACCAAUGGCGAAGGCAGCUCGCUGGGACGUGACUGACGCUGAGACGCGAAAGCGUGGGGAGCAAACAGG